GACGGAGGAUGCAAGUGUUAUCCGGAAUCACUGGGCGUAAAGCGUCUGUAGGUCGUUUAACAAGUCUACUGUUAAAAAUUGAAGCUUAACUUCAAAGGUGCCGUAGAAACUUUUAAACUUGAGUAUGGUAGGGGUAGAGGGAAUUUCCAGUGGAGCGGUGAAAUGCGUAGAUAUUGGAAAGACCACCAAUGGCGAAGGCACUCUACUGGGCCAUUACUGACACUGAGAGACGAAAGCUAGGGGAGCAAAUGGG
rnacentral:rRNA from 1 species